rnacentral:rRNA from 1 species
UACGUAGGGGGGCAAGCGUUUGUCCGGAUUUAUUGGGCGUAAAGAGCGUGUAGGCGGUUUGGUAGGUCCGCUGUGAAAACUCGAGGCUCAACCUCGAGACGCCGGUGGAAACCAUCAGGCUAGAGUCCGGAAGAGGAGAGUGGAAUUCCUGGUGUAGCGGUGGAAUGCGCAGAUAUCAGGAGGAACACCAGUGGCGAAGGCGGCUACCUGGACCGGUUCUGACGCUGAGGCGCGAAAGCGGUGGGUAGCAAACAGG